GUCCAGCUGCUGCUCUGCCCCGGUUGAGGCCCAAACAGACGCUAAAGGGUGAUUUUUGGGUCGGUAUCUGACGCUGAGAGCCACUGACCAAGUGUCAGUAUUUGAUGAAUUGGGAGUCAGAA